AAAAGGGACUCUUAGGAACAAUUACUAAUUGUGCUCCAAGGUAGGACAAAGGUAAAUAAUUAGGUGCUUUCAUUGUUCUAAGUUUUGUUCUCUCUCUCCUUAGUGGACCUGGUAUCCAAGGAAUGAAUGAACUGUUCUUGCUUGUAGCUGACUGGAGUCUCUCCUGGUACAUUGCAAUUCAGUUCCCAUCCUAUCCCCAAACAGCUGCUCACAUACCAAACCACGAAGAUGCCAUGAUAUUUCAUUGAUCCUGAGGCCUGCUCCACAGGACACUGAGGCAGCUGCAUUGGUGCAACUAAAGAUGCUUGGUUACGAAAGAGGACUCCAUAUCUGUUGCAGGAGGCAAGGACAAUGGGGUGAGUGUGUUCAAAGCCAGGGGGAGGAUUUUGAGGAGGUUAAUGGCAAUGUGUCUUUAUGGCAAUAAAUGUUUUAAAUAGUCACUAUGUGUAUCUGUGUAUACAUAUGCAUAUACAGUAUACUGAUACAUAUGCAUGUGUACAUUUGUAUGUGAACAACACAUGCAUAACACACGUGUAUCUUACUCCUGAGGAGCUGGAAUGAGUGGUGCAGAGGAAGCCAGGGAGAUGAGGGGCUAAUCCGAGAUCAAGAUCCAAACUAGAGGGCCCCAUGGGCCAGUGUACCACCAAUAAUCAACAACACAAAACUAAGAGCAGUCACUGUGAUCAAAGAACAAUUUCUUCCUAGGAGACUCAACUCUAUAAAAGUACAAACUGUGUAGCUGCUGGAACUUCCCUGCAGUGUGCUACUGCCUUGGAAACAGUCCUGAGGGCAGACCAAGCAUCAGGGCCUGGACAGCUCCAAUCGUA
rnacentral:lncRNA from 1 species